GGGGAUGACAGGUUUCGACAGGGAGGGCUGACCGCAGAUAGCAAGCCGAGGGGCCUCACCUCGUAAAUCAGGGGCAACUAGAGAUAAACGGCGAGCCACAACUCGCACUAGCCGCUUAGACGGCUACGUCCCACCCGAUCUUCCCCCGAUGAGUCGGGAGGGGAUGCCAUAUAAUCGGGGUGCGAUAGUCCCUAUGCCGAUAAGGACUGUCAAAGCCAGGGAAGACUUGGAUCGGCUGGCUCGCGGUGGACUCGGUCGGCAUGAGGCCGUCGCGAGCGAGAAAGAAAGAGCCGACUAAGCUUGUAGCAGAUCUUCGGCCGAACUCUCUGGACGCGGGUUCGAUUCCCGCCAUCUCCACCA
rnacentral:tmRNA from 1 species